rnacentral:rRNA from 1 species
AGUGAACGCUGGCGGUAGGCCUAACACAUGCCAGUCGAACGGCAGCACAGUAAGAGCUUGCUCUUACGGGUGGCGAGUGGCGGACGGGUGAGGAAUACAUCGGAAUCUACUUUUUCGUGGGGGAUAACGUAGGGAAACUUACGCUAAUACCGCAUACGACCUACGGGUGAAAGCAGGGGAUCUUCGGACCUUGCGCGAUUGAAUGAGCCGAUGUCGGAUUAGCUAGUUGGCGGGGUAAAGGCCCACCAAGGCGACGAUCCGUAGCUGGUCUGAGAGGAUGAUCAGCCACACUGGAACUGAGACACGGUCCAGACUCCUACGGGAGGCAGCAGUGGGGAAUAUUGGACAAUGGGCGCAAGCCUGAUCCAGCCAUACCGCGUGGGUGAAGAAGGCCUUCGGGUUGUAAAGCCCUUUUGUUGGGAAAGAAAAGCAGCGGGUUAAUACCCCGCUGUUCUGACGGGACCAAAGGAAUAAGCACCGGCUAACUUCGU